rnacentral:lncRNA from 1 species
AGAACCUGGAGUUCCACCGUGGCUCUUACAGUCUCAGCCAUGGUUGCAUACCUUCCAAGCUCCACCGCCUCUUCUUCCUCGUGGGCAGAUCCCUGAUUUUGUGUAGGACAGCACUUGAAAUGUAUUUGUGUGCUCAACAUUGGUUUCCUCUCUGGAACCUGGGAUCACUUCAGGGGUGGACACGUGGCCCAACCAUGACUGAUGAGACAUGCGGGGAAAUCUGCAGAGGCAACUUCUAGGAAAGGUUGGGCUCUUGCAGCCACCCUGUGACUAUGAGGUUUUUGUAAGCUCCAGACAUUGGAUAAAGCAUUUUGAGGGAUAGGUGAAAACGAAAUCCUGCCCUUUACUCUUGAGAACUCACUCUGCUGUGGGAGGAGAGACAGGCAGCAUUCUGACCACAAUGCCAGAAGACAAUACGGAAUUACUCAGUACAUGAAGCACCAGGAAGAUGACAACAGAAGAGAGAGGACCCAGACAUUGGAAUCAGCAGCCACCAGGUGCAAUCUCCAACAUGUGCGGGCUUUGGGAAAACACAAUCGGGCAAGUGAAGUUUGUUGCAGACAAGUUCUUCUUCCCCUCUGCCACAACCUCCUCCAAGGUUACAGGGAGAGCACCCUGUCUGUGAAGAAGCAGGUUCUCAUCUGAUACCAAAUCUGCUGGCACCUUGAUCUUGGACUUCCCAGACUCCAGGACUGAAGAUCACAGAUUGACAUCAGCAGGAAAACUUGCCAGGCAGCAGGAGGAUCCAUUUGAAAACUCACGAGAAAAAGGCCCUUGAGGCCUUUUUCCUGGUUAUUGAAGACAUCUUAGGAAACACUUAUGGUGACAAUUAAUCAAGCAAAAAUAGAUCCAGUUUUUCUGAAGAUCAAGCUUAACAUGUGUGCCAUGCUUUAAAAUGUCUUUCCAGGCACUCUCUCCUGCCCACGGAUCUUGCUUGGGAAAGGAAUGGGGCAAGUGGAAAUGGCCAUUUCUUAGAUGAACACAUCAGGGACUUGCUCCAGUCUGAAGUCUAUACAGAGCUAGGCUUUGAAUCCAGUCACGUAACUGCAUAGCAGCAAAUCAGCCUUUCAGAAUAUUGCAGGAUCAGCAAUGAAAUUCCCUUUGCCAGAGAAAUGGACAAACAAGGAAGCAACAAUGGUGAUGGUGGAAGUGUUCUUCAAGUCUAAGUUUGGGUUCUAGAAACAUCUGGCCAAAUAACGUCUUUCACAACUAAAAUAGAAUAUAAAGAAGCCAUUUGACCUGCCUCAGUUAUCAUGGUCAUCAUGACAAGCUGCAGCAGGACAAAUCAGCUUAACAAUUUCGGAAACUGCCAGAAAUGCUAUUUGGAUUAAUUUUUAUUUGGGAGUUGGCUAAAACUGGUCACAUCCCCAAAUACCUCAAGAUAAACAACAUAGCAUUAUCAUACAAAUCUAUAUUCACCAAAUUAGGUUAAAAUAGGCUGUUUUGAGAAGGUUGAAUUUUUUUAUGGGGAUUAUUCCCAAAAUACGUUUAGACACAAGAAGUUCAACUUUUCUUUUUUCCAUAUUUGAUGUCAAUCAAACUAAUUACUACAUGUUUGGAAUUGCAUUAAUUGUAUUCUUCAGUUACCUAUAAAAUUUAAUUAUCAUGUCUUUAUGGAAAUUUUAAUAUCAGAUAUAAAGAAUGGCAUAUUUAAAAUGACAUUUUAAUACUUUAUAAGAAGCAACAGAAAUUCGACUUCCAAAGCACCUCUCAGUACUACCAUUGGAGUACAUCUAUAUUUUUCUGUCAGAAUACUAUCCAAAGCAAGCAUAAGUAAUCCUUAUUUUCACGAUACAUUGAUGCUCAAAAGUUGUGUGUUCAGCAUGUCUACAAAGUAAAUUACCGUAUAUUUGAAACAGCAGACUAAAACUGAAGUAACAUCUGGAAAAAAUUGCCCUAAUUGCUAGCCCCUAAAUUCAUCUGACCUUGACACUCUCAUCUGAAUUUAAAAGUGUUUUAAAUUCUUAGCCAAUCAAUUCAAGCCAGAACUGAAUUCAUAUGUCUUCAGAAACUGCUAAUCUAGAACAAUGUAACUAGAAUAGAUUCCUGAUCAAACUUUGGUUUUGUUCAGGUAUCCACUCAUUUCCUAGGUGACCCAGAGGCCACAACUCACAACUCCACCCCUUCCCGUGGCUGGUCCAGGCUGUGCAGAUCUUGUAGUCACAAAGUCCUGGCAAUGGGCUGGGGGUGGGAUCUGACCUAGUGCUGACCAACAUGUCAAAAACAGAUGGCUGCAGAACCCUCUGGAAAAGCUUCCCUCAUUCUUAAGGAAUCCUGUGAAGAGAUGGUCUGUUUCUGUCCUGUUCCCUGGAUGUCAAAUGUCUGGGUUUGAGACCCAGAACUCCUGAAGCCAUCUCACAACUACAAGGGGAGCAGAUGUAGCCACUGAGGAUGGCCAAGCAGAGGGAGGGAGGACCUUUCCUGCCAGCAUCGCCAGCGGCUGAAUCACAGCCCAGAACCCCACAGCACCCUAAACGUCCUCUUAACAAAUGUAAUACGUUGUCUUACUGUUUGUGCCUGUGUGAAAAGUCCUCUUUGCUUGCAGUGAAGGCAUCCUAGUUGAUAAACAUGAAAUUUGAAAAUUGGAGAUUUCUUGGAACCAACA